CCCUGCUAGAUGUUGUGUAUCAUAGGAGCAAGCAGAGAAAAACACUGGAAACAAGCCCUGUUUUCCUUCAGUGUUUCCUAGAGCCAUCUGCUGACAACACUAACAUUGGGCAUCUGACAGAGGAGAAAUAUUUAUAAGGUUUAGCUCCAGUGUCACAGGCAGAGCAAUGGAGGAUGGAUUUGGAGCUGCAAGGAAAUAAACUGGUAACUGAACAAAACCAGUCCAAGAAGAAGAUGGGAUAUAAGAGAUACUUGACAAUUUCAAAGUCCUAGGCCCACUUCCUGAGCUGAGCAAGAUGGAUCUGAGAACGCUGUCUGGGCUUGGUGCCAAGGGCUGGUAUUUCACAGCAGCGACCGCCUCACAGACGAGCUGUGGGAAGCAGGAGGGAGACUCUCUCUUAGGGUGCCACUACUAU